UAGAGUUUGAUCAUGGCUCAGAGUGAACGCUGGCGGCGUGGAUUAGGCAUGCAAGUCGAGCGAUCGAGAUUUUGAAGCAAUUGAAGUUUUCGGACGGAUGUUGUGAAUUAAUCUUUGAUAGCGGCAAACGGGUGAGUAACACGUGGGUAAUCUGCCCUAGAGAGGAGGAUAGCUCCGAGAAAUCGGAGGUAAUACUCCAUAUAAUCUUACUAUUAAUUUAGUGAGAUGAAAGAUGGCUUAGGACUUCGGUCCGCUGUCACUUUAGGAGGAGCCCGCGGCCUAUCAGGUAGUUGGUAGAGUAAGAGCCUACCAAGCCAAAGACGGGUAGCUGGCAUUAGCGUGUGGUCAGCCACAUCGGGACUGAGACACUGCCCGGACUCCUACGGGAGGCUGCAGUCGAGAAUCUUUCCCAAUGGGCGAAAGCCUGAGGAUGCGACGCCGCGUGGGGGAUGAAGGCUUUCGAGUUGUAAACUCCUUUUGUUGAGGAGGAACACUGUUAAAUUAAUAGUUUUUCAGUUUGACUGUACUUAACGAAUAAGCCACGGCUAACUCCGUGCCAGCAGCCGCGGUAAUACGGAGGUGGCUAGCGUUACUCGGUAUGACUGGGUGUAAAGGGUCCGUAGGCGGCCAUAUGUGUGGUAGGUGAAAGCUUUCGGCUUAACCGAAAAAUUGCCUAUCAAACUGUAUGGCUUGAGGAUGGAAGAGGAGAGCGGAACUGCCGGUGUAAGGGUGAAAUCUGUGGAUAUCGGCAGGAACGCCAGCGGAGAAGUCGGCUCUCUGGUCCAUUCCUGACGCUCAGGGACGAAAGCUAGGGGAGCGAACAGGAUUAGAUACCCUGGUAGUCCUAGCUGUAAACGAUGGGCACUAGAUGCUCGUUCUUUUGAAUGGGUGUCGCAGUUAACGCGUUAAGUGCCCCACCUGGGGACUACGGUCGCAAGACUAAAACUCAAAGGAAUUGACGGGGGCCUGCACAAGCGGUGGAACACGUGGUUUAAUUCGAUGCUACGCGAGGAACCUUACCAGGGCUUGACUUGCUGGAAGUAGCCACCCGAAAGGAUUGGCCACCUGUAACCAAUCAGGAACCAGUGCAGGUGCUGCAUGGCUGUCGUCAGCUCGUGCCGUGAGGUGUUCCCUUAAGUGGGAAAACGAGCGCAACCCUCGUCCUUAGUUGCCACCUUCGAGUAAUCGGAGCGCACUCUAAGGAGACUGCCCGCGUUAAGUGGGAGGAAGGUGAGGAUGACGUCAAGUCCGCAUGGCCCUUAUGCCCUGGGCUACACACGUGUUACAAUGGCGCAUACAGUGGGGGGCUAAGCCGCAAGGUGGAGCAAAUCCUAUAAAGUGUGCCUCAGCUCGGAUUGAGGGCUGCAAUUUGCCCUCAUGAAGCUGGAAUCGCUAGUAAUGGCGCGUCAGCACGGCGCCGUGAAUACGUUCCCAGGCCUUGUACACACCGCCCGUCAAGCGCUGAAAGUGGGGGGCACCCGAAGUCCCGACUUUAGUCGAGAUCACGGUGAAUUUCAUGAUUGGCGCUAAGUCGUAACAAGGUAAAUCAC
rnacentral:rRNA from 1 species